GUAGGGAAUCUUCGGCAAUGGACGAAAGUCUGACCGAGCAACGCCGCGUGAGUGAAGAAGGUUUUCGGAUCGUAAAACUCUGUUGGUAGAGAAGAACGUUGGUGAGAGUGGAAAGCUCAUCAAGUGACGGUAACUACCCAGAAAGGGACGGCUAACUACGUGCCAGCAGCCGCGGUAAUACGUAGGUCCCGAGCGUUGUCCGGAUUUAUUGGGCGUAAAGCGCGCGCAGGGGGUUUAUUAAGUCUGGUGUAAAAGGCAGUGGCUCAACCAUUGUGUGCAUUGGAAACUGGUAGACUUGAGUGCAGGAGAGGAGAGUGGAAUUCCAUGUGUAGCGGUGAAAUGCGUAGAUAUAUGGAGGAACACCGGUGGCGAAAGCGGCUCUCUGGCCUGUAACUGACACUGAGGCUCGAAAGCGUGGGGAGCAAACAGGAUUAGAUACCCUAGUAGUCC
rnacentral:rRNA from 1 species